rnacentral:lncRNA from 1 species
GGCGAGCUCGUAUAUUAAAUAAAUCGAAUACGAGCUGAUUCAUUAAAAUAUCAAACUAAAAAAUUUAGAUCGUAUUUGGCUUGAUAAGUUAGAUUGUCAGUCUUGCUAAUGGGUGACAAGUUAAAAAAAUUAGAAUCUUAAUCUAAUAAUAAAAACUAAUAAAUUAUAAAAUUGAAUUGGCCUAAAAUACAAAUAAUAGAAAUUUUUGUGUGUAUGUGUAUAUAUAUAUAUUCGAGCUUUAUUGAUGCGAACACUAACGAGCUUACCCCACUUCGUAUUUGACUGGCUAAAAUUUUGUGCCGAAAAAUUCAACUUAUGUUCGGCUUAUUUAGUAAAUAAGUGAUCAAUCGAGCUGAAUACGAGUUGGCUUGUGAAUAGCGAACUGGUUUG